rnacentral:tRNA from 1 species
GGGCGUGUAGCUCAGUUGGUUAGAGCACCAAGCUUAUACCUUGGCGGUCCUUGGUUCAACUCCAAGCACGCCCACCA